rnacentral:rRNA from 1 species
CCUACGGGAGGCAGCAGUGGGGAAUUUUGGACAAUGGGCGAAAGCCUGAUCCAGCAAUGCCGCGUGCAGGACGAAGGCCUUCGGGUUGUAAACUGCUUUUGUACGGAACGAAACGGCUUUCUCUAAUAAAGGGGGCUAAUGACGGUACCGUAAGAAUAAGCACCGGCUAACUACGUGCCAGCAGCCGCGGUAAUACGUAGGGUGCAAGCGUUAAUCGGAAUUACUGGGCGUAAAGCGUGCGCAGGCGGUUAUAUAAGACAGAUGUGAAAUCCCCGGGCUCAACCUGGGACCCGCAUUUGUGACUGUAUAGCUAGAGUACGGUAGAGGGGGAUGGAAUUCCGCGUGUAGCAGUGAAAUGCGUAGAUAUGCGGAGGAACACCGAUGGCGAAGGCAAUCCCCUGGACCUGUACUGACGCUCAUGCACGAAAGCGUGGGGAGCAAACAGGAUUAGAUACCCUGGUAGUCCACGCCCUAAACGAUGUCAACUGGUUGUUGGGUCUUCACUGACUCAGUAACGAAGCUAACGCGUGAAGUUGACCGCCUGGGGAGUACGGCCGCAAGGUUGAAACUCAAAUGAAUUGACCGGNUGAGACGNGCGAGACGACGACGAGGAGGAGG